GGCCUGAUGGUCUAGUAGUAUGAUUCCUUGUUAGGGUUGAUCGGGUGAUUCUCAUCACGUGAUCUAAUAUCGAGGAGGUCCCGGGUUCAAUUCCCGGUUAGGCCC